CUAUGACAAAUUAUUUUGUCAUGGCGGAAGGAG
rnacentral:ncRNA from 1 species